GAUAUAUAUAUAUAUAUAUAUAUAUAUAUAGAAUGGAGUUUUAUAUGAAAAUGACUUGAUAAAAUUAGAUAGAAAAAGUUAAGAAUUCAACAAAAAACUCAAUUUAUAUUCAGAGAUGAUCCUGCACAGUUUAAUUUAGAGUGUAAUUUGUUAAAAUUAAAUCAUUAGUUAAAUUUUAAUUUAUUUAUUGAGUUAUAUUUUGUUAUAAAUUGGAUUUGAAUGGGACUAAAUAAUUUAAGUUGAUUUGUGGGUAGAAGUAGCAUAAAAAAAUAAAAAGAAAGUUGUAGAUGUAGAUGAAUCAUUAGCAACAACAGCACUAUAAUAUGGCAAAAUUAAAAUAAUUAUAAAUUUCAAACAAAUAAUUAAUAUGGCAAUAUGUAAUUAUUUUCAUAAAUCGGCUAUUCCUAGAAACCUCCACAUCAACAAAAGAACAAAACUGUCCAUCUGCAACCAUAGUAAUUCCAUAUCUUCGAGGAGGUAACGAAAAUUGUAAGGAUUGAGAUGUUUACAGUGCAACUAAACUCUUCGUUGACGAUAUUUAUGUGUGUAAUUUAAUUACAUAAGCACUCGUCAAGUUUCAGAAGAAAAUGAGCUAAAACGGAGAAGUUACGCGAUUAUUAGUUUUCACUUAAAGUGAAUAGUAACUCCGGUUUUCCGGAGAAGCCACGGAGUAGAGUUGGCUUUCGGCGCGUAUCGGACUCCGAGCAUAGAACUCCAAUAGCUCGUUUCGAACAGUUCAGCUAUUCUGGAACCAAUGGCACUGACGGAUUUCGGAUCCGAUGCACGGUUUUCGAGAAAAAGGAGUUUUAACAAAAAGAGGGUUUCCGCUCUUUGCUAUUCGUGCA
rnacentral:lncRNA from 1 species